rnacentral:lncRNA from 1 species
AUAUGAAGGAGAUAUAGGCGCUCAAAGUUAAGGUGUUGAUUUGGGAGCUACUGUCACUCUUUUUGGCAUAACGCAUGUAUACAGAUGGCAAUUGAGGAUCGACAACUGCAACUAGAGAGAGCACUUUUGCGGCUACACUUUUUGCAUACUGCUUGCUGAAUUCGAAGUUGAAGUGAAGGAGUUAUUGGAUUUUGAAGUCAGUACAUACAAUCUAAGGGUAGUAAGUGAUCCAAUUUACUAGUGGUUAAGUCUUGAGCUAUACCUUGAGCAAUUUGACAAGUUUUUGGCUCAAAAUUUCAAGACAUGUGUAAUUUAAUAUUAAUAAACUUUAUACAUAAGUUUUAUAACAUUUGAGUAUUGGGUUCUUGAGAUAUUAAGAAAAUAGUGCUCGGAUGCUUGUAAAUUAGGGUUU